rnacentral:rRNA from 1 species
UACGAAGGGGGCUAGCGUUGCUCGGAAUUACUGGGCGUAAAGCGUGCGCAGGCGGUUUGCUAAGACAGGUGUGAAAUCCCCGGGCUUAACCUGGGAACUGCGCUUGUUACUGGCAGGCUUGAGUGUGGCAGAGGGGGGGUGGAAUUCCACGUGUAGCAGUGAAAUGCGUAGAGAUGUGGAGGAACACCGAUGGCGAAGGCAGCCCCCUGGGCUAACACUGACGCCUCAUGCACGAAAGCGUGGGGAGCAAACAGG